rnacentral:rRNA from 1 species
GCAAAACGCGAAGAACCUUACCAGGGCUUAAAUGUAGUCUGACAGGCGUGGAAACAUGCUUUUCUUCGGACAGAUUACAAGGUGCUGCAUGGUUGUCGUCAGCUCGUGCCGUGAGGUGUCAGGUUAAGUCCUAUAACGAGCGCAACCCCUGUUGUUAGUUGCCAGCGAGUAAUGUCGGGAACUCUAGCAAGACUGCCGGUGCAAACCGCGAGGAAGGUGGGGAUGACGUCAAAUCAUCACGGCCCUUACGUCCUGGGCCACACACGUGCUACAAUGGCCAGUACAGAGAGCAGCCACUUGGCGACAAGGAGCGAAUCUAUAAAGCUGGUCACAGUUCGGAUUGGAGUCUGCAACUCGACUCUAUGAAGCUGGAAUCGCUAGUAAUCGGAUAUCAGCCAUGAUCCGGUGAAUACGUUCCGGGUCUUGUACACACCG